UUAAUUUGAGAGUUUGAUCCUGGCUCAGGACGAACGCUGGCGGCGUGCCUAAUACAUGCAAGUCGAACGAACUCUGGUAUUGAUUGGUGCUUGCAUCAUGAUUUACAUUUGAGUGAGUGGCGAACUGGUGAGUAACACGUGGGAAACUUGCCCAGAAGCGGGGGAUAACACCUGGAAACAGAUGCUAAUACCGCAUAACAACUUGGACCGCAUGGUCCGAGUUUGAAAGAUGGCCUCGGCUAUCACUUUUGGAUGGUCCCGCGGCGUAUUAGCUAGAUGGUGGGGUAACGGCUCACCAUGGCAAUGAUACGUAGCCGACCUGAGA
rnacentral:rRNA from 2 species